CUACCCCUGGAGCACAUAGUCCAUGUGUGCCAAGAGUCAGCACUCACAGAACCUGCCUAGAGCAUAGUGAGUGUCUGGCAUGUCACAUGAGAUCACGAGGGUGUGACCUGGAAUCUUGGUGUGGGGCUGAAUCAAAGCAGAUGGUGCACUUUGGUUCAGGACCGUGCAAACAUGUGGUCCUACUCUGCAGGGAGAAAGCAGAGUGGGACUUAUUUUGAUUACACUCGGCUCCCACCUCCUCCAACUCCAGACAUCUUUCAGAACAGGGAAAUGAGCCGGGAGUCCAGUGAUACUGCUGAUAUGAUUCAGGCCUCCUUGGGAGGAAAGCAACCGGAAGCAGAGGGCUGGCUGCUGUGCAAUGAGGUCAUCCCUUUGGCAUGCUGUCCUGGUCCUGGAGAAAGACAACAAGAGACAGAAGCUAUUUGGCUUCUUGGCUGACUCUCAAGUCUUAACUGAGGUCCAGGAAAGGUUGAGGUGUCGGUAUGGAUCCACUGUUGCCAAGGACGCAAGAACAAAACCCUUCAUUUUAAAUGCCAGUGGAAAAAUGUUCAGGAUAAAUACCAAGACACAUAAUGUGCUUUUAUUAAGGCAGCUUUUAAAAUGAGUUUUGGAAAACAGCCUUCAAGUGACUAUAAAGGUCCUCCUUGAGUGGAGGUCACUUGAGAAUUUGGCUUUGUGGACACAAACACUCCUGAACUGUUUUGGUUUUGCUGCCCUCAGGUAGGAGCCCCUGCACCUGGGCUGGACUCAAGCUCUGGGAUUACAGACACAACAUCUUGGCUCUGAAUGGAACACUUGAAAGUCUCAACAAUAAAAGGAGUCACGCAGCCCUGAGGGCCUCACCUACUGUGUACUCACUGGCCAUGAGGUCUCUAUAGCCGGUGGGAUCCCAGUCUGGUGUGGGAGAUUUCCAUGUCCGUCUCCAGUGAAAGACGAGCAUGUUCAGGGAGCCUUGCCUCCCUUUCCACCUGAGGAUAUCAACAACUCUGCUGUGAUGCAAAUGGUUUUGUUUCCCUGCAUGCUGCCUGCCAUGACCUGCUGCCUUACGCAACACCCCAAACAGUGGACCAACCAACAAUAGUCUGCUAGCUGAGAUAUAGACUUUUCUCUUUAAAUUGGUCAUCUCAAGUAUUUGUUGCAAUGGUAGAAAACUGCUUAACUCAGUCUCUCCUCAUACUGUCACUGCUACCCAGCCAACAUCAGCGAUGGUGUCCUCUCCUGCCCUGGCCCUCCACAAAAUGAAAACAAAAC
rnacentral:lncRNA from 1 species